rnacentral:rRNA from 1 species
GAGGAAAAGAAACCAACCGGGAUUGCCUUAGUAACGGCGAGUGAAGCGGCAAAAGCUCAAAUUUGAAAUCUGGUACCUUCGGUGCCCGAGUUGUAAUUUGGAGAGGGCAACUUUGGGGCCGUUCCUUGUCUAUGUUCCUUGGAACAGGACGUCAUAGAGGGUGAGAAUCCCGUGUGGCGAGGAGUGCGGUUCUUUGUAAAGUGCCUUCGAAGAGUCGAGUUGUUUGGGAAUGCAGCUCUAAGUGGGUGGUAAAUUCCAUCUAAAGCUAAAUAUUGGCGAGAGACCGAUAGCGAACAAGUACAGUGAUGGAAAGAUGAAAAGAACUUUGAAAAGAGAGUGAAAAAGUACGUGAAAUUGUUGAAAGGGAAGGGCAUUUGAUCAGACAUGGUGUUUUGUGCCCUCUGCUCCUUGUGGGUAGGGGAAUCUCGCAUUUCACUGGGCCAGCAUCAGUUUUGGUGGCAGGAUAAAUCCAUAGGAAUGUAGCUUGCCUCGGUAAGUAUUAUAGCCUGUGGGAAUACUGCCAGCUGGGACUGAGGACUGCGACGUAAGUCAAGGAUGCUGGCAUAAUGGUUAUAUGCCGCCC